GAUGAACGCUGGCGGCGUGCCUAAUACAUGCAAGUCGAGCGAACAGAUAAGGAGCUUGCUCCUUUGACGUUAGCGGCGGACGGGUGAGUAACACGUGGGUAACCUACCUAUAAGACUGGGAUAACUUCGGGAAACCGGAGCUAAUACCGGAUAACAUUUGGAACCGCAUGGUUCUAAAGUGAAAGAUGGUUUUGCUAUCACUUAUAGAUGGACCCGCGCCGUAUUAGCUAGUUGGUAAGGUAACGGCUUACCAAGGCAACGAUACGUAGCCGACCUGAGAGGGUGAUCGGCCACACUGGAACUGAGACACGGUCCAGACUCCUACGGGAGGCAGCAGUAGGGAAUCUUCCGCGAUGGGCGAAAGCCUGACGGAGCAACGCCGCGUGAGUGAUGAAGGGUUUCGGCUCGUAAAACUCUGUUAUUAGGGAAGAACAAAUGGGUAAGUAACUGUGCACGUCUUGACGGUACCUAAUCAGAAAGCCACGGCUAACUACGUG
rnacentral:rRNA from 1 species